GGAGAGGUGUCCGAGUGGCUUAAGGUGCACGCCUGGAACGCGUGUAUGGAUUAAUCGUCCAUCGCGGGUUCAAAUCCCGCUCUCUCCG
rnacentral:tRNA from 1 species